GAUGUAUGAUUGGCCGGUUCUAUUCACCUUGCUAGAGUUCCUUGGUAAAAUUAACAAUCUCAAACAAAAUGCAAACUUUGACAUUUAGAUAUGAGUUGUACUUUUUCUUCAGUCCACGAGAGUAUUUAUCUGCUCCCUUCAGCAUGGGAUAAUUCUGGUGCAAAAUUGUGUUGUGAGCAGUGAUAUUGCCUGAUUGCUCAUCUUCGAGAUGGGUGACAUGGAUGAUAUGGAAGAUUUUGAAGGCUUUGGUGAUGAAGAUG
rnacentral:lncRNA from 1 species